rnacentral:tRNA from 1 species
UCCCUGGUGGCUCAGAGGCUAAAGCAUCUGCCUCCAAUGCGGGAGACCCUGGUUUGAUCCCUGGGUUGGGAA